rnacentral:rRNA from 1 species
CACGUAGGGCGCGAGCGUUGUCCGGAAUUAUUGGGCGUAAAGAGCUCGUAGGCGGCCUGUUGCGUCCGCUGUGAAAGCCCGGGGCUUAACCCCGGGUCGGCAGUGGAUACGGGCAGGCUAGAGGUAGGUAGGGGAGAAUGGAAUUCCCGGUGUAGCGGUGAAAUGCGUAGAUAUCUGGAGGAAUACCGGUGGCGAAGGCGGCAUCCUGGACCGACACUGACGCUGAGGAGCGAAAGCCAGGGGAGCAAACGGG